UUAUAGACGCUUGUAGGGCGUCUGGAACUCUAGUCCGUAUGGUUACGAGUAUCCCGGGUUACCUUAUAAUUAUUUGGCCUUAAGGUAACAGUAUCACACCGGCAAUUUACACUGUAUGCUGGUAACACUUUUUCAGAGUCACACUGUUUUGGCCUUAUAAGACGUAUCUUUCAUUUGAUACUGUCUGGGGUUUGUUUUCUCUGUUUUGACCUUACAAGACGUAUCUUUCAUUUGAUACUGUCUGGGGUCUGUUUCUCACUGUUUUAGACCUUACUAGCGGUACCUUUCAUUUGGUACCUUCUGAGGUCUGAGUCUCUAUUUGUUAGACCAAACCAGGCGUGUCGUUUGUUCGAUACUCUCAUGGAGUCUAUGAUUCCUUGCCUUAUUCAGCAGUCCUCACUGCUGAGGCAUAUGUUUUUCCCUGAUAUCGUUUGCUUUCUUCAAUAAUCAAAUUCAGUAUUUUGAAAAUGAUAGCAAUUUAGGGAAAAUGACUUUUUACCACAUAACACUGACCAGUCUUGGUAGAAGGCUGCUUUAUUAAAGAAAAUAUAGGAUUUUCUGGAAAGAACUCUAAUACACAGUAAACACUUAAACUACUACUUUAUAAAGUUAUUUGAAUAAAUGUCACUAAAUGCAUAUGAACUCACCAGCAUUUGUAAAAAUGCUGAUACUCGCUUUUCAAAUAACUUGUAUUCUCAGGUUAGCAUUAGACAGGUACACCCCCGGAGCUGUUGAUGAAGACGGCUUAGUACCUUGCUGCACUUAUUAUAUUUACUUGUAUUACUUCGAUGUAUUGUAAUGUAACCAUGUAAAAUUAUUACUAUUAAUGCAAUGUUUUGUUGUACUUUGAUUACUAUAAUGCAUGUGUUGUGAUACUUGACAUGACGUCAUCCACCCCAGAACGUUUCCGCCGUUCCGGUUUUGGGGUGUGACAGGGGCGCCCGUCCUACCCUUGUCAAGCCAUUAUGGGGUGCUGACCUACCCAUGUCAAUCCAUUCUAGGGUGCUGACCUACCCUCCGGUCUAUCUCAACCGAACACGGAGACUAUUUCACCCCUACUACUAACACAUAAUAUCAUAUCACAAUCAUGUUGUCAGACAUAGCUGGGGUGUCCGACCUACCCAUUGAUCCUAACGACCAAAUUGGGGAC
rnacentral:lncRNA from 1 species